GGCUGCACCUCUUCCCAUUUAAGGGCUGCCUGCUCCUGGGGAGGAUCUUUUUCUGGAGAUCUCUCCUCUGUGGAGUCUUUCAUGUGAACCUAGAUCUUUGGAUACAGGAUAUCUUUUAUGCUUUCUUUUUUUCUUCCUUCCCUUUGGAAGUCCAAGUGUUUAUUUGCAUGCAAGCAAUAGACAUGAUGAACCAUCUUAACUUGCGAAGAUGAUCUGCAGACUCUUUGUUUUCCUUUCGUACAUCCACAAUAAAGCUCUUGGCGUAAGAACUACUAUCAAGAAGCAUAGCAGCUUCCACAGCUAUGGGAAUGGUGCUGUGCUUGUGAAAGGGUUUGCAGAAGACAGAGGACCCACUUCACUUAACACUAUUAACCUUUGGGAGAGGAGUGAAAACUGGGGCAGGCUGACAAGCCAUGCAUUUUCUGAUCUUUUUCCCCCUUUUUCCUGGCAAAUAGCUGUAUAUAAGCAUCCUGUACGUAGUGAUUAGUGACUCACUAGGGCAUCACAUAUUGCACUGUAUUGGCAUUAAGUGUGUAACCCUCUAAAACCUAGUAAUGAGAGAGCAGGUGCAAUUGGAUCUGUGUUAAUAAUGUCUGUAAGAGUCUGGAAUGGAGUCCUUUGUGUGUAUCUUCUCCUUUAAAUCUUGUGUUUGCUGGUAAAUAUUGAUUUCAGCUAAUGGUGGUUUUAACUUCUAUGUGCAUGUUCUGUGCCCCAAGGGACCAUGUCCCAAACAGGGAGAAGCCAAGACUUGCUUAUAAGGAAAAAACAGAUCAAAUACAUUUUUUCCUUUAAAACA